AGGACGAACGCUGGCGGCGUGCUUAACACAUGCAAGUCGAGCGGAAAGGCCCUUCGGGGUACUCGAGCGGCGAACGGGUGAGUAACACGUGAGUAAUCUGCCCCUAGCUCUGGGAUAGCUCCGGGAAACCGGGAUUAAAUACCGGAUAUGACCACUUUAGACAUCUGCUGUGGUGGAAAGAUUUCGGCUAGGGAUGAGCUCGCGGCCUAUCAGCUUGUUGGUGGGUAACGCCUACCAAGGCGACGACGGGUA
rnacentral:rRNA from 1 species